AUUGAACGCUGGAGGCAGGCCUAACACAUGCAAGUCGAACGAGUGGCGGACGGGUGAGUAAUGUCUGGGCAACUGCCCGAUGGAGGGGGAUAACUGCUGGAAACGGUAGCUAAUACCGCCUACCAUCGGAUGUGCCCAGAUGGGAUUAGCUAGUAGGUGGGGUAACGGCGCACCUAGGCGACGAUCCCUAGCUGGUCUGAGAGGAUGACCAGCAAUACUGGAACUGAGACACGGUCCAGACUCCUACGGGAGGCAGCAGUGGGGAAUAGUGCACAAUGGGCGCAAGCCUGAUGCAGCCAUGCCGCGUGUAUGAAGAAGGCCUUCGGGUGGUAAAGUACUUUCAGCGGGGAGGCGUUACUCGCAGAAGAAGCACCGGCUAACUCCGUGACAGCAGCCGCGGUAAUUC
rnacentral:rRNA from 1 species